rnacentral:rRNA from 1 species
UACGUAGGGGGCAAGCGUUGUCCGGAAUUAUUGGGCGUAAAGCGCGCGCAGGCGGCCUUGUAAGUCUGUUGUUUAAACUUGGGGCUCAACCCGAAGUCGCAAUGGAAACUGCAAAGCUUGAGUGCAGAAGAGGAAAGUGGAAUUCCACGUGUAGCGGUGAAAUGCGUAGAGAUGUGGAGGAACACCAGUGGCGAAGGCGGAUCUCUGGGCCAUUACUGACGCUGAGGAGCGAAAGCGUGGGGAGCGAACAGG